ACGAACGCUGGCGGCGUGCUUCACACAUGCAAGUCGAACGGAAAGGCCCUGCUUUUGUGGGGUGCUCGAGUGGCGAACGGGUGAGUAACACGUGAGUAACCUGCCCUUGACUUUGGGAUAACUUCAGGAAACUGGGGCUAAUACCGGAUAGGGGCUCCUGCUGCAUGGUGGGGGUUGGAAAGUUUCGGCGGUUGGGGAUGGACUCGCGGCUUAUCAGCUUGUUGGUGGGGUAGUGGCUUACCAAGGCUUUGACGGGUAGCCGGCCUGAGAGGGUGACCGGCCACAUUGGGACUGAGAUACGGCCCAGACUCCUACGGGAGGCAGCAGUGGGGAAUAUUGCACAAUGGGCGGAAGCCUGAUGCAGCAACGCCGCGUGCGGGAUGACGGCCUUCGGGUUGUAAACCGCUUUCGCCUGUGACGAAGCGUGAGUGACGGUAAUGGGUAAAGAAGCACCGGCUAACUACGUG
rnacentral:rRNA from 1 species